rnacentral:tRNA from 1 species
GGGGCUGAGAUCGGCAUGCUUCGGUAGCGCGCUACAUUCGCAUUGUAGAGGCCACGGGUUCGACUCCCGUUAGCUCCACCA